UACGUAGGGCGCAAGCGUUGUCCGGAAUUAUUGGGCGUAAAGAGCUCGUAGGCGGCCAGUUGCGUCUGCUGUGAAAUCCCGGGGCUUAACCCCGGGCGUGCAGUGGAUACGGGCUGGCUGGAGGCAGGCAGGGGAGAACGGAAUUCCCGGUGUACCGGUGAAAUGCGCAGAUAUCGGGAGGAACACCGGUGGCGAAGGCGGCCAACUGGACAGAUACUGACGCUGAGACUCGAAAGCGUGGGGAGCAAACAGG
rnacentral:rRNA from 1 species